UGCAUUUUCACUUUAAUUCUAAGUUAAAUUAACUAGAAACAUAGGAAUUCAAUUAAAAAUUUCAAGUUUCAUCACUAACCUUUCUUUGAUUUUUACUUUUUCACUUUUUUCUCUUUUCUUCCUUUCUUUUCUUCUUUAAUCUCCUUUUCUAUGGUGAAUUAUAAGUUUUUGAGAGUUUAGGGUUGGAAUUUAUGGGACAAA
rnacentral:misc_RNA from 1 species